rnacentral:lncRNA from 1 species
CCUGAACUGUUUAGGAACGGAUGGCUCCGGUAAACAGGUCAUCGGGAAAAAAAUUGACCUACCUGAUUAUUGGUGAUUUCCGUCUCUCUUGUUUUAAUGUCCUCUGUGUGUGUGUGUGAAUCGUGGUGUGCCCAAAAAUAGCAAAGAAAAGGAAGGAAAAGAAUCGAAAUUCGCCUCCGAAAUCAACUCUUGUGUGUGUGUGCGAUGCUUGACGUGAGAGAGAUGCCUCUGUAUCUAUGGUGAGAGUGAGGAUGGAAAAA